GCAUACAUUUUGCUUCCAUCCUCGUCCGAUAUAAUGACCGCUUGAUUUCAUCGCAGAAUCCUAAAAUUCACAUUGCCAAAUGAUAAAUUACAGAAACAAGUGCCGUAGGGAGGAAUUAUUUUAUCAUAGAUGGGCAUCCAAUCUCCAGCAAAAACAUGUCAUUCUCUGUUGUGCUGUCUUUGUUGUUAGCCCAUCUCCCUGGAUUGAAUUUUCUCAAAAAAGAAUAAGCUACAAGAACAAAAUAAAAAACCCAACUAACAGCCACUCAAAAGACAAAAUUCUCUCAGCUCUUCAUAUCAGCUGUUGAGCACUUAAUUGAUGAGAGAGAGAGAUAUCAAAAACAUAUUUUUAAUAUGGUUUCUUUCUCCUUUUCUUUUCUGUUAGACCUGCUUUUUAUUCUUUUUGAGACCAAAACAAAAAAAAAUAAACUGAAGAAAAAAAUAUAACAAGAGAGGAAAAAGCUGCUAAUGGGCCAUGGCAAUCCACUUUUCACACCCACCCUUCUAUUAUUCUUUUCUUUGAUUUGAGGCUUUCCUUCUUCUUCUCUGCAACUGGUACUAUUGUUGUCACCACCACCUUUUCCUUUUUUUGCUCUCUCAAAAUCGUUGCUUUGAGUGUCUUCCUUUGAUAGAACCCUCUUUUUGGUUUUUUGACAGCUUUGUUGGUAUGUCAUUGGUAACCUAUAUUUAUGGUUUGGUUUCUUAUUGCUUCUGGUUUUGUUUGUUUUCGUAAGGGAAAAAAAAUUCUCAUUUUGGUAAUACAAAUGAUUGGGAGGGAUGCCUGGGAUCUGGGUUCUGGAUGUUAUUAGUACUAGUAAAUAAAUUUACAUGGAGUCAAAGUUAUAUACUAAUUUUUCCUCUAAAAAUCAAAUCUUGGUUUCUGGUAUGAUGGGGUUUACGUUGCUGCUCCAAUUUUCGGCUUCUUCUGUUAGUGGAUAGGUGGGUUGACUCUGUUAAUUGUCAAUUUGUUCAUUUGGUGAAAGGCUUGCUCACUGAGUUUAGGUACUGGUAGUUACUUUCCAUGAAUAAAUGUUCCAACUUUAAAUCAAAUAAUGUUUAUAGCAUGAAAAGAUCACGACUUCAAAAAUUUCUGGCGUGUUCUUCUAGGAAACUGAAUUAGUUCUGUUCCAAUUUCUGACUGCUGUUGUUUCUGAUUAUAUUUCCAUAGAAAAAUAUUGUCAGGUUGAUGCUAAGUUGGAUACAGAUCAGCAAUGGGUUCUGGAAAUUUGUUGAAGACAAUAAUAAAGAAAGUGAAAGAUGACAGCUCAAAGCAAGUGAAGGGAUCUUCAGCUUCUAAAAAAUCCAAUGGCUUAAAAUGGAAGAAACACCAGAGAAAGGCAUCCAUUAAAACAAGUUUUACUAGUGGAAAUUCCAACACUCUUGGCAUGCCAAUUGAGGAUUUAGCAGCAACUCAGAUUCAAACUGCAUUCCGGGCCUAUAGAGCUAGAAAACAUUUACGCCGAUUGAAAGGUAUGGUAAGAUUACAGGCUCAAACCCAAACUCAUUCCAUCAAAAAGCAAGCUACAACAACAUUAAAUUAUCUUUAUUCAUGGAGCAACAUACAGGCUCAGAUAAGAGCUCGUCGACUGUGUAUGGUAACAGAAGGCCGUCUUAGAGAGAAGAAAAUAGCAAAUCAGCUAAAGCUUGAGGCAAAACUGCAUGACAUAGAGUACAAAUUAAGAGCUUGCCGCAAUUUGAGUGAAAGAAGGUUUGAUGUCUUGACAUCAGUUGGAAUGGUCAUUUGGCGAGUGGAAUGGUCUGGUGGCCCUGAAACAUUGGAGGAAGUUCUCACAAAAAUACAGCAGAGAGAAGAAGCUGCUGUUAAGCGGGAGCGAACUAUGGCAUAUGCCUUUUCCCAUCAGUGGAGGGCCCCCAACUCUAACAAUAAUGGGCUUGGUAAUUAUGAACUUGCUAAAGCUAAUUGGGGUUGGAGCUGGGUGGAACGCUGGAUUGCUGUUCGACCUUGGGAAAGCCGCCUCCCUACUCAGUCCAUUACCCCUAAGAAGGCAAAGAAUAGACAGAUAAGCAAGGCUGGUAAAAACUCAAAUUCCCCAAAACCAAAAGCAUCAGUUUCAGUUAAACCCCCUCUGUCCAAUGGGAAGGGAACCAUGAAGCCUAGGAGGUUGUCUUACCCUGGUGCUGAGAAGCCAGCUGUACGUAAAGAAAGCACUAAAACUGAAGAAGUAAACAUUCAAAAAGAGGAGAUAGCGACUUAGCAGCAAGCCAAAGAUAUAGUUAGAUUCUUGAUUUGGUUCACAAAAAUUGGUGUUGCCGAUGACUUAUCGGCCAUUUUUUGUAUAUGAAGCGGUGAAAGUAUGCCUUGCAUGAGAACAGAAAUUAUAGAAGGGCUUGGUUUUGGGGCAGAAACGGUGAUUCUAUUUUUUGUUUUUGUUUUCUUUUCGUCUUUCUGUUUCAUAUUUCAUGAAAUUUGUAAUGUAAAUUUCCCGAUUCAAAUUU